AAGGGAAUAUUACAAAUAAGCUAAUUAAAGGGUCUUUUAAAACCCUUUUGACUGAUUUGUUUGCCCUUUUUGACCUGGAGUCCUUGAUCUUCCCGAAGAAUAUUUCACAAAAAUGAUAUUAAACUGUUAAAUUUCUUUAUGUGCUUUCCCAGAUAGCAUUCAGACGUUGGCCCAACGUCGGCAAUGGUUGGCAGUGUCGCGGUCGGAUUUUAUACGUUGGCCCAACGUUGUUACAACGUUAGGUCGCAUUUCGGAAAUUAUUUCCAAGGGGCGCUACUCGUAAUUGACAGCUUCACAGAGAGGGCGCUGCGUUUUUUGCGCCUCUCAACGAGCAGACGACGAGACACAAGCACACGUUCGAUCAUCGGAAUACUGUUUUCCUCGAAUAUAUAGAGGUGGAGUUUACAGUAUUGUGGAAGCAUAUUUGUUUACAUCACAUCACAGCCAGAAAGUUACCAAGGCACACGGAGAGACCGUGGAUACAGUUGAAGAUCAUCCCUGUGAUAAGUUCUUCUGACAUCUCAGGAUUGAAAAGGCUCCUCAACCACUCAGCCCAAGUUCUGAUUUGUCAUGUAACAAAUAAAUAAAGGUCACCGAAA